rnacentral:sRNA from 1 species
GCUGGGUGCAGUGGUGUUUACCUGUAAUCCCAGCAACUCAGGAGGCUGAGGCAGGAGGAUUGCAAGUUCAAAGCCAGCCUCAGCAAAGGCGAGGCACAAAGCAACUCAGUGAGACCCUGUCUCUA